rnacentral:rRNA from 1 species
CAUGCAAGUCGAGCGGUAACAUUUCAAAAGCUUGCUUUUGAAGAUGACGAGCGGCGGACGGGUGAGUAAUGCCUGGGAAUUUGCCCAUUUGUGGGGGAUAACAGUUGGAAACGACUGCUAAUACCGCAUACGCCCUACGGGGGAAAGCAGGGGACCUUCGGGCCUUGCGCUGAUGGAUAAGCCCAGGUGGGAUUAGCUAGUAGGUGAGGUAAAGGCUCACCUAGGCGACGAUCCCUAGCUGGUCUGAGAGGAUGAUCAGCCACACUGGGACUGAGACACGGCCCAGACUCCUACGGGAGGCAGCAGUGGGGAAUAUUGCACAAUGGGGGAAACCCUGAUGCAGCCAUGCCGCGUGUGUGAAGAAGGCCUUCGGGUUGUAAAGCACUUUCAGCGAGGAGGAAAGGGUGUAAGUUAAUACCUUACAUCUGUGACGUUACUCGCAGAAGAAGCACCGGCUAACUCCGUGCCAGCAGCCGCGGUAAUACGGAGGGUGCGAGCGUUAAUCGGAAUUACUGGGCGUAAAGCGUGCGCAGGCGGUUU